UACGUAGGGUGCAAGCGUUGUCCGGAAUUAUUGGGCGUAAAGAGCUCGUAGGCGGUCUGUCGCGUCUGCUGUGAAAACUCGGGGCUUAACCCCGGGCCUGCAGUGGGUACGGGCAGACUAGAGUGCGGUAGGGGAGACUGGAAUUCCUGGUGUAGUGGUGAAAUGCGCAGAUAUCAGGAGGAACACCGGUGGCGAAGGCGGGUCUCUGGGCCGUAACUGACGCUGAGGAGCGAAAGCGUGGGGAGCGAACAGG
rnacentral:rRNA from 1 species